rnacentral:misc_RNA from 1 species
GAUGAAGAACGCAGCGAAAUGCGAUAAUUAAUGUGAAUUGCAGAAUUUAGUGAAUCAUCGAAUCUUUGAACGCACAUUGCGCCCUGUGGUAUUCCGCAGGGCAUGCCUGUUCGAGCGUCAUUUCAACCCUCAAGCCUCGCUUGGUGUUGGGCCCUGCCCGCCGCGGCCGGCCCUAAAGAUAGUGGCGGCGCCGCCUGGCCCUCAGCGUAGUACAGCUCUCGCUCCAGGGUCCGGCGGCAGCCUGCCAGAACCCCCCAACUCUGUGGUUGACCUCGGAUCAGGUAGGGAUACCCGCUGAACUUAAGCAUAUCAAUAAGCGGAGGA